rnacentral:rRNA from 1 species
UACGUAGGGGGCAAGCGUUGUCCGGAUUUAUUGGGCGUAAAGAGCUCGUAGGCGGUUUGGUAAGUCGGGUGUGAAAUCUCCACGCUCAACGUGGAGGGGCCACUCGAUACUGCCAUGACUCGAGUCCGGUAGAGGAGUGUGGAAUUCCCGGUGUAGCGGUGAAAUGCGUAGAUAUCGGGAGGAACAUCAGUGGCGAAGGCGGCCCUCUGGUCCAGUACUGACACUCAAGUGCGAAAGCGUGGGGAGCAAACAGG